GAGAGGCAGAUAGAGUUAUUCCUAGUCUCAAACCUAAGCACUUAUUUUCUGGGAAGCGUUCCAUUGGGAAAACCCAAAGACGCUGAUUAUUCAAGGUUUGUCACAUAAAUAGCACUUGAUUUUUUUUCCCUGCUUGUCUUGUGUUUAUUUCUUUAAUACUUGCGCUUUCUUUUCGGUUGGCUACGGUUGCUUUGGGUUUUGGCUGAUUGACAUGCCAUUUUCGUUUCAACCCAUAAUUUUCCUGGCUGUUACACGCUCGUUAUUUGUUUCCUCCUUGUGUGACAACAUUUUUUUUUUCUACGAAAAUGUAUACAACUUUCUGGUUUAUUUGAUUUUAUUUUAAUGAAAGAGCUUCUUUAUUUAAAUGUUGAAUGUGAAGAAAAUGGCUGCAGUGAAAUCCAAUUGAAAAAGUUUCUUAUUCUUUUUUGUUUUUUUUUUCUUUAAUCUUGCAGGGGAAGGCGUGAUUAUAUUUUAAAGAGUUGUGCUGAGCUGACGUGGAUUGUAUUUGCUGCUUACAUGCCAAUAUCAUUUAUUUACUUAACUGCCCUGUUUGGGGCAGUGAAUGAGUUUUUUGUUUGAUCUUUGUCUGCUAAGUGCUAAGCCAAUUUUGAAUGAGAGAUUUUAAUUUUAUAUAUUUUGCUGUUAAGUUCUAAACUAAUUUUAUAUAUUUUGCCAUUAAUUUCUAUACUAUCUAAUGCGAGGAGAUGCUGAUGGAGUAAAGUUGAGUUCUGAGAUUCAUCUCCCUCCUUCCCGUUUCAGCUGCUUGGAGGGUCUGAGACGACAGGUGGGUUGCAGGAGCUCUUCUUGGAUUUGGUUAGGCUUCGUUAGCCUUUCUUUAAUGGUAGCUAGAACCCUUUUGUUGUGUUUCUUUGGUUGUGAUCGUCGCCCACGGAGGAUGGCAAGGUCGGCGCUGCAAGGUGCUUCAGCUGUUAAUUUGUAAAGGGGUCCGGGUCAGCCAUAAUGGGACGAAUCCUCAUUGGCCUAAGGUUUCAGCUGGCUGGGCUUUAGGCUUGGGUGUAUCUGUUUGGGCCUGCGGUUUGUGGGCUUAAUUAGAGAUCCUUGUUUUAUCAUGCCUUGGGCAGCGUUGCUGGUGAAUAAAAUUGUCAUCUUUGAAAAAUAAUAAUAAUAAUAA
rnacentral:misc_RNA from 1 species